rnacentral:lncRNA from 1 species
CGUUCUUCAUUUUCUGCAGUGAAAUUUGGGAGGAUCAUCUUCAAUCAGUGUCAUUCCCAGGAAGAGAAGAAGCCACUUUAUAUGUUCCCUCUGAUUUCGCACAAAAAGAAAACCAUGAUGAGACCACCCCUUGGCAUAUGCCGUCCUCCCCAGAAUGCCUUCCCCACCUGAAAUGCCAUCACCUCCUCCCCAAGAGCACAAAGCAGCCCACAGGCUUAGGAGAGAGUGCCAUUCUCUGCCAACCUCAAUUCCACCUUGUUUCUCAGAGAUGUGCCACGGCUGACCCCCUCUCUCACCCCUUUGGGCUAUGCAGACAGAGUUUCUUGUCUCUGCCUCCUGUGCACACAGGGCAUCUAAGGGGGCUCUGCAAUGCCCCCACCCCGACACAGCAGCCACCAUCCUUGGCCUCACUUCUGAGACAUGCCAAGCUCACAGAUGUCCCCCACCUCUUUCAUUUCCUUCACUUUUAGGGCUUGAGGAAUUAUAAACAUGUAUUCCUGCCUGUGAUUCCAACAUGGCACUUUGCUAAACGACCUUAAGGUUCUUGAUGUGAAAUGCUGUCCAUUUUACUCAAGGCUUUAGAACUUAUCUUUUGGGACUUUGCCAGCAGGACAGCCACUUGUUUUAUCCUGUCUAAAGGUGAAGGUGAAGCACAGUAUAAAACAUCUUGUAAAGUCAGCCAUGCCUCAUCCUCUCCACUGCCACCUUUCUUCCAGGUUUAAGCCACUCUUGAGGGUCACCUGCAGUGUUGUAAUAACCUCUUAACUGGUCCGUCUGCCCAUGUCUGGUGCCCCCACCAUCCCCACGUGCCUCCAGAGUCUGUUCUCAGAGCAGCAACAGAGGGAUUCAUUAAACACAAGUAAGAGCUGCUCAGAACUGGCUUAUAGCUCCCUCUCCCCGAGAGGAAGAAAAAGCUUUCAGCAUCCUGGCCCCUCUGCUUUCCACCCCAGGCUGCCCACUCCCUGACCCCACCUCCUACCUCCUUCUCUACCCCUUGAUUCCUUCCUGCUGUCUGCCAACAUGCUAGGCAGACCUUGACUUCAGAGGAAUGCUCUUUUCCCAGAAAUCCAGCAAAUUUUGUUUUUUCAUUUCCUUCCCCCCCCUUCCAACAUCACCUUUUCACUGAGGUUUUCGGCAAACACUCCAUUUUAAAUUGCAGUUUUUACCUCCUGUACUGUGGCAUCUGUCAUUCUGGUUCCUCUUCUUUGCCUUAUUGUUUUGUUCACAGUACUUUUUAUUUUCUAAUAUUCUACAUACUUUAAUUAUUUCAUCUCUCUCCUCCUAUGGAUGGGAGUUUUAUCUGUAUCCCAGCACCUAAAAUACUUCCUGGCAUGUAGUGGGCCCUUAAUAAAUGCAUGUUGAAUAAAUGGACUCUAAUAACUGCACCCAAGACUGGGAUCUGGUCAUCUGUCCAUCCAUCCCCUCAUGGCUUUAGUCCUCACUGCUUUGCCCAUGGCCCUUGACUGGCCCCACAGGCUGCCCACAGCAGGACGAUGAUAAAGGCAUUGCCCCUUUCUUUAGGGCAGUCUAUCUAGACUUUUUCACAGUCAUCAUCUAUGCCCUAACUCACUAGUUUUUCCUUACCGUGUUGUCACUGACUUUAAGGAACUCUUAGGAGGGCAGAUGACCUUGUACACACCUGUUCCCCUUUCAAGAGCCAGCAUGGACAGGAACAAUGGUCCCAUUAUUACCACAAGUUGUCAUGAAACCUCACUGGCUUGAUCAAUCCAGACAACCUUUAUUCAGAGGGGAGAGACAAAUCGGGUCAAAUCAGUUAUUUGACAAGGUGUCAAAGACACUUCAGUCAUUUGGCUGAAACAAAAUUUUUUAUCGGCUAGGUUGGUUUUGUUUAGAAAUAUGCCUUCCAUCAAAGACUCUAUAAAGUACACAUACACCUAGUUCCUCCAAUCCCUAGAGAAUGAGUCCAAAGUGCCUCAUUUUUGUCUUAAAACUAGAAAUUGCUAUUUGUGGGUGGACAUGGGGGGAAACUAACCACUUCCCUAUGCCAGUAUUUGGGAGCUUCAGUAGUCAGAGUUAGGUUGUACCUGAGAGCAGGUGGAGAAUUAGUAUUUACAGAGUGAGAGCACUUUACAUGAAUAUUGUUAUUUAUUCAGAACAACCCAAUGGGAUAGCUUGUAUCAUCAUAUUUUACUGAUGAGACAACUGAGGCUCAGGGAAGGUCAGUAAUUCUCUGAAGUCAUUUGAUACGUGGCAUCAGAGCUGAGAUUUCAACCAGGUACUGACUGACUCCAAGCCAAGGUUUCUUUAGUGUUUCAAUCUAUAUUCCUAGUCUCACUCUUUCUCUUCCUAGGCUGGUGAGGUGGCCAGUUGAAUAAGAGCUGUGUUUAAAAUAGUCAAAGGUUCAAUAGAAAAAGCAGAUUAAAUAUCUGAUCCUUUUCCCUUGCAUGAUCCUUGGAGUAUAUCUACUCUCCAGCUAUGUACACAGGCGUUGAAGGGUCAGUCAUUCUUCAGUGAACAGUCAAGGUCAACCAUUACUUAUUGAAUUCUAUCUUAAGACUGAUCCCAUUGCUAAAGAGAGAAAUCCACCUUAAACUGUCUUAAAGAAUAAAGGAGAAGUGUUGGACUCCUAAAAAGUGCCAUGGGCAACAGCAACUUCAGGAAUGGUAGAAAACAGGUGCUAAGACUAGGGUUUCGGGAAUAUGUAUGUCUCUCUUUAUCACACAUCUCUAUUUUCUUUCAAAUCAGUAUCUUGUUACCAAGCCCUCUCUUUUAGGUGACAAGUUGCUUCAAUUGGCUACACUUAUCUUACCUGAGCAAUCACAAGAAAGAGGUAUUAUUUUUCCUAACAUGUCUAGGAAAAUGUAGGAGUUCAGUCUCACUGAUCUGGCCAAGGCCAUAUGUCCAUCCUGAACUAAGUGGUCAAGAUAACAGAACAGUCUGGUUAGCCAGACACAGGUCAUAGAAUGGAGUCAGACCCAUUUCCACACAACAUGUACUAAAAGUUGGGAAAAGGCAUUUUCAAACCAGGAUACUAUGACCCAAAUAAUGGCAAAGGAUUGCUGGACAGGUAAAAACAAUAAAUAACCACCAAACCAACUGUGUGAUAUAGAGUAGCUUGCAUAUCCUGUGUGUAUAUCUGUUUCCUCAUCUGCAAAACAUAACUGUGUAUCUCACAGCAUUUGAAAAGGAUGCAUUGAUAACAUCAAGCUUAGCAUAAUGCUUGAUGCUUUACAAGGCUUCUAAAUAGCAUUGUAUUAUCUUAUAUUAAAAUGCCCCACACCUCAAGACUCCCUUCUCAUGCCUUCUUACAUGUAACCACAUUGCAUUAUUUUCCUCAUGCCUCUGGCUCCUUAUUUAAAUGGCCUAGAAUUUGUUUACACCAUCUGAAUUUUUGAUGGCCAGUGGGUUGCAGGGGAGUUGGAACUUUUAGAAAGGCUGCUACAAAAGCUAUUGGUAGCCAUCAUGUUUCAAAGCGGUUGUGUGUGUAUGAUUUGUGUAGACACAGUAUGAGACAGAAGUACACAUCUCAUUAUCCUAUUAAUCCUCUAACAUGUUGCUACUUGGCCAUAAUCUUCUUUGCCCAAGGAUGGGAAGGGAGAGGGAAAAAACAACAGUACCACACAAAACAGAUUGUGCUUUGAUACCCAUGAGUGAUCUGGGGGGAGAAUCACUUCAUCCACAGAAAAUACUUACUCCAUAAAAUUUGGCCCCAGUAGCAAUUAACUGGUUGGGGAAUAUCUUUGGGGGAAAGCCAUGUUAAAUAAACGGUGGAGAUAAGCUUCUGGGGACAGCUCUUCCUUCUCUUACUUCAAAUCUGUUCUGUAAAUAUUUCAGGAUAAGUGCUGAGAGCUGCCUUUGUCUCCCCAGUGGCAGAUAUCAUUGUUUUAGAAAACACAAUUUAUAAGAAAGUUUUUUUUGGAAUACUUUUUAAAAAAAGAAAAGAAAAAAACUUUCCACUGAUGGAACAUGAAAGUGGGCAAGGAGAGAAAAGAACUCAAGGGAGCAGAUGACCAUAACAAAGACAAUGCUCAAGCUAGUCUUCUCAUUUUUGACACAUUCUUUGUCUGAACAUAUUUUUUUCCAUUUCAUGAGAAGGUGAGUGACAAUCAGCACUUACUCAUGAAGGCAGCAUUUGUUCUAGAGUUUAGAGAUGUAUCUAUGAACCAACGGACAAGGUCACUGCUCUUAAGAGCCUGUGUUCUAGUCAGGGAGACAGAAAAUCAACAAGUAAUUAAGCAAGAAAAAUCUCAUAGAAUAAAUAUGAGCCAAAAGUUAAACUAGGUUUACAUGGAAGAGCAUGUAGUUGGCAAUGCUGGGCCAGCACGUUGCAGCAGGUGAGCUGAUACCCUGCUAGAUCCGACUGACAAGUGCACACAUCCUCCAGCUGAUGGAGGGAAAUUCUGUGGCCAGUGGCUCAAACCUGCAACCUGUUCAGAAGAAUCAUCCGUAGCUGGUAGGAGAUGACUUUGAGGCAAUGACUGAUUGCCAAUGACUGAUUGAUAGAGUGGAACAAAAGCCUGGCUCCUUCCUUCAAGGCAGGCCACCUAUGGGGAGUGAUUUAUGCUCUAGUUCCUCCUUGGCCUCACUGCCACAACUCAUAGAUCAGGCCAAGCUAGACAUUACCUAAGAUCACAUCUCAGACCAUGUCCUUUUUCUCUUUUUCUCUUCCCCUCUUUGCUGCCCUCAACCCUUUAUAGGUUUUUCCUAAGUAUAUACUUUAAAUAAAUCAUGUGCUCCUAAAACUUUCUCUUAUGCUCUAUUUCUAGGAAACCCAACCAAGACAGUGGUCAAGGAAGGUCUCUUCUGAGUUAUCAUAUUUAAGCUGAGAAAUGAGUCACAAGAAGUAGCCAGGAAUGCAAACACCUGGUGGAACAAGCUUGACGUGCUUUAAAAAUACCAAGAGAAAAUCUUGGGUGGAGGGCACAGGAAGAGGGAGAGUGGAAAAGAGGAGGUCGGAGAGUCCUAAGAGCUAAGCCCAGAUUUUACAGGAUAAGGAUCCUGAUUUUACUCCAAAUACAAUGGAAAGCUAUUAGAAAGUUUUAAGCAGUUGUGUGUUCUGACUUAUGUUUAAAAAAAUUCCUCUGGUAAGGAGAUAAUCCUGGGGUCUGAAUGGAAGCAGGAAGACCAGAUAGGAGACUGCAAAUAAUGAUGCUGGCUAAACUAGCCUAAGCAGCUUAUCUAUACUGUCUUAAGUUCUACUCACAAUUCCAUAAGGUAGGUAUUAUUUCAUCCAUUUUAUUUUUCAUUUUUAUUUUGUUUUAUGGAUGAACUGGCAGCAUAUGGAAGUUCCAGGCCAGGAACUGAAUCUGAGCCAUGGCUUUGACCUACCCUAUAGCUGCAGCAAUGCUAGAUUAUUAACCCAUUGUGCAAGGCCAGGGAUACAAACUACACCUUCACAGUGACCCAAGCCGUGGCAGUCAGAUUCUUGACCCACUGUGCCACAAAGGGAACUCCUCUGCCCAUUUUAGAGAUAAGGAAACUGAUACAGAUUGUUUAUAUAGCUACUGUGAAAUCACCCAGCUAUUAAAUAGUAUAUCUGCUAUUUAAACCAGACUACCUGGUUCUAAAACCUGUUUUUCUUCCUAUGCUAUCCCCAUCAUCUGACUUCUUGGUAUAUAGAUUUCUCCGAAAAUACCCCAGUCACUCUGGCUUGCCAUGCCAGGGCUAUCAGAGAUGCCUCCCUGUCUCACUGGGGAGAGGAGUUCCUGCUGAAGCAUCAGUCUGUUGGCCCCCUGAAAGACUAGUUGCCAUUAUUCAACACAUCUGUCUGUAAUUAUGAGGUGCCCUUACACUUCCCCUUUUUGUCAACAUAAUUACUCUCAAUUAUAUGAACACUCUGCCCUGACCUCCCAGGGAUCUACACCCCUGCCAACCACAGUGGUUGAUUUCCAAAGCCCCUGCCAUUCCAGGCUAAACAUAUGGGCCCUCUUCUCAGCUCUAAGCACAAGAGGGUUCAGGUCCAAGUCCAGUCAGAAUGGUAGCUACUUCUUGCUUUGUCUGUAUCACUAUGGCAAGGUAAGAGAUGGUUAAAUUACUUAAGGCCAUAUUUGGCGUUUGCAAUGACUUUGUCAACCAGAGAGAAAUUUUUAAUGGGCAUUUAAUUUGAAAGUGGUUCUCUUGCCACGAAAAUCCACGGAAAUCCAGAAUAUCUUCCUCCUAACAUGAUGCAGAAAGAAAAAGAGAAGCCAAAUCUGUUCCCAACAAUCAGUUUAGAGUUAAGGCAGAGAUGAUCUCCCAUAAUUCAAGAAGUACACAGUUCUGAAGAAUAGCAAAAUAGGAAGAGCAGCAGCUAGUGCUCUUUAUACACUUGAUGAAGAUUCUAGAUUAAAGCCCAAAAUUUAAGAAAGGGCAGGUUUUCUGUAGUUUGACACCAUGAAGUAAAUAUGAGUCCAAAGUGCACUACGAUAUG